CGUGCCACCCAACGACACCAUUGCAUUGUUGCCGUUUCGAAUUUCUCGAAAACGGCGUAGUUGGUCAUCUUUUUCCUUUAAUUGAAAUUUCAGAACUUAUUCAGGGCUGUCAUGGAAUCCAAGUCGGUUUUGCAUUUUGUCGGAAUUACAAACCAAUUUUGGUUUCAUUUGGUGUCAUGAAACCGGAUUGGUUUUGCUCUUUUCGAACAUAAACAAAACCGAUGUUCGAAUCAGCUGUCUUGCACAUUUGUGUGUAUGGCGAUAAUUUGAAUGUAUAUUUUUUUGACACAAUUUUAUAAAAUUGAAUUGUUUUCAUUAAUUAAAAAAAAAAUAAGUGAGCGCAAAAUGACAUCCGCAGUUGUCGCAUUUCUCUUAUUGGAAGAAGAAAGUUCCGAGAAAGUUAAAAGAAAAAUUUUGAGAGAUUGCAGCAAUCCACUUGAGCUGCCUGAGACAGCUUUCAUAGCAUAUUAUCGCCUAAACAAAGAGGCUUUCCGAAUGGUGCUUGACACCAUUGAAGGGCACUUGACACGUUCGAAAGUUCCACCAGUGCUGCAGUUAGCACCUUCGUUGCGAUUUUUAGCUGAAGGAUCCUAUCAAAGAUCAGUCGGGAACGACUCUAGCAUAAGUGUAGCUAGAAGCACGGUGUCAACGAUUUUAGAUGAUGUGCUUAAGGUUAUGGAGCGGUUCAUUUGCCCUCAGUGGGUGAAACUAGAAAUGGACGGCACCGAAAAACGCAGAUCAAGAGACUAUUUUUACUUAAAGUACAAAAUUCCCUCAAUAAUUGGUUGCAUCGACGGGACACACAUAAAAAUCAUCAAGCCGAGUAUUGACGAACAUUUAUUUUAUAAUCGAAAUUGAUAUUUCAGUAUGAACGCCAUGCUUGCAAAUUUGUGAUGGUCACAUGAAAAUUCGAGCGGUCGAUGCACGCUAUCCCGGCUCUAGCCAUGACUCAUUCGUAUGGAACGUUAGUAGCGGCAGACAAUAUUUCCUCAAGAAGUAUGAGUCAGUUGACCGGACAUCAAAGUUGUUAGGAGAUUGUGGAUAUGGCAUAGAACCUUUUUUAUUAACACCAUACAGAGAUCCACGCUACAACUCCAAAGAAUAUAAGUUCAAUUUGGCCCAUUCAUCGCUCGAAAUAUUGUGGAGCGAACAAUAGGAGUGCUGAAAAGCCGAUUUCGCUGCUUAUUGAUCACCUUGCACUAUCGGCCAGAAAAAGUGGUGAAAAUUAUAAAUGUUUGCUGUGCGCUGCACAAUAUCUGCAGAAACUACAACGUGGAAUAUAACGACGACAGUAUUACUUUACCAUCAAAUGAUACUGAUGAAAAUGUUGAAUCUCCACCGAACGCAACACUGCAAAGUGAAGGUAAAAGGAUGAGGGAUGAAAUAGCCAACAGUUUAUAGCAAACCAACUGAAUAAAAAUUCAAAUAUUUAUUUAUUAAAAAAUAAAAAACACAUAUUUAUUUAUUUAAA